rfam:TPA: Bos taurus chromosome 7, whole genome shotgun sequence.
UCCUUCAUAGCUCAGUUGGUAGAGAAUCUGCCUGCAAUGGAGAAGACCCAGGUUUGAUUCCUGGAUCAGGAA